rnacentral:rRNA from 1 species
GCGACCCCAGGAUGGGCGAGACCACCCGCCG